GUUCUAUAGAUUAUAAUUUUAGAUCAGGCCUGCUCUAUGAUUAUUUAAAUGGCUGCGGUAUUUUAACUGUACUAAGGUAGCAUAAUAAUUUGUCUUUUAAUUGAAGGCUAGAAUGAAUGGUCUAAUGAAAAACCUCCUUUAUUAUAUUAAUAUUUUGAAUUUGAAUUUUUAGUUAAAAUGCUAAAAUUUUUUUAUAGGACGAGAAGACCCUAUAGAAUUUUAUUUAUAUUACUUAUUUAAUAAUAUUGUAGUUAUAUUUUAUUAUUUAAUAUUAAAUUUGGUUGGGGUGAUUUAAAAAUUUAUUUAACUUUUUAUUUAUUUUACAUUAAUUAUUGUUUUUUUGAUCCUAAAUUUUAGAUUAUAAGAUUAAAUUACCUUAGGGAUAACAGCGUAAUUUAUUUGGAGAGUUCUGAUCGAUAAAUAAGUUUGCGA
rnacentral:rRNA from 1 species